UCCCCGGUGGACUAGUGGCUAGCGUGCGGUGCUUUUAUUGCGACAGCCUGGGUUCAAUUCCCAGUCAGGGAA